rnacentral:rRNA from 1 species
CCUACGGGUGGCAGCAGUGAGGAAUAUUGGUCAAUGGACGAGAGUCUGAACCAGCCAAGUAGCGUGAAGGAUGACUGCCCUAUGGGUUGUAAACUUCUUUUAUAAAGGAAUAAAACGAGGCACGUGUGCCUUUUUGCAUGUACUUUAUGAAUAAGGAUCGGCUAACUCCUUGCCAGCAGCCGCGGUAAUACGGAGGAUCCGAGCGUUAUCCGGAUUUAUUGGGUUUAAAGGGAGCGUAGAUGGGUUGUUAAGUCAGUUGUGAAAUUUUGCGGCUCAACCGUAAAAUUGCAAUUGAUACUGGCAGUCUUGAGUACAGUUGAGGUAGGCGGAAUUCGUGGUGUAGCGGUGAAAUGCUUAGAUAUCACGAAUAACCCCGAUUGCGAAGGCAGCUUACUAAACUGUGACUGACAUUGAUGCUCGAAAGUGUGGGUAUCAAACAGGAUUAGAUACCCCAGUAGUC